UUAUUUGUGAUGUGAGUAGCAGUCCAGUCAUCCUUGUUCCACAUCUAAUAUCCUCCUAUGAGUGAAUGAAGGCAUCUAGCUAAGGAAUCUGAAGACCACUAGACAAAUGAGACAUCUUGAGAAAGAGGACAAAUCAUCUAGAAAAAUUGUCCCAGGAAAGAUUUUCUACAGUGAACAAUGACCACUCCUAAUGCAAUCUCUGAAGUCUCCAAAAAGAUGAUGGGACCCCACCAUGAUGAUUCCACCAGGAUGAUGAUAAUACCACUAAGCUGAUAAACACCACUCAAAGAUUGGCUUUGGACUACAAACUGUUCAGGACAAUUUCGAGAUGGCUAGCUGAGGUGAUCCAGCCUCACAGAUUACACAAGCAAGGACUUGAGACAAUUCCUGCAUCUUCCCCUUAUGCAGAGACUAGACAAUAAGUGAUAAGCUACCUCUCCCAUGAUUGACAGUUAGCCCACAAUUUUUCUUUUCAGGAUCCCCUAAAGAUGCCUUCACCUUCAGACAUCAGGAAGUAAUUUUAAGAACACGAUGCUCACAUUCCCAAGAGGUUCUUUGAAUGAACAUGGUUAAGUUACUAUUGACUGUGGCAUCUCCAAUUUACCAAUUUACUACACUGAAGAAAAUGACUUCUCCUCUACAAGCAACCAUUUAAGGCUAAUUGAUUGCUUCUCAAAGAAAUGUGAAGACUUGUAAGACCCUCUUCUCUCCAGAAGGGAACACUGAACAGUUCCAUUUUCUACAGGGCAUAUUGACAUUUGAGGAUGUGGCCAUCGACUUCUCUCAGGAGGCAUGGGAAUGUCUGGACUCUACACAGUGGGCUUUGUACAGGGAUAUGAUAUUGGAGAACUACAGCAACCUGGUCUCUGUGGGUCUCACAAUAACAAAACCAGAGCUGAUCAACUCUCUUGAACAAAGCAAAGAGCCCUGGAAGGUGACACUGAAG